rnacentral:rRNA from 1 species
CAGUCGCCACGGGAAUACGAAGGGUGCAAGCGUUACUCGGAAUUACUGGGCGUAAAGCGUGCGUAGGUGGUUCGUUAAGUCUGAUGUAAAAGCCCUGGGCUCAACCUGGGAAUUGCAUUGGAUACUGGCGAGCUAGAGUGCGGUAGAGGGUAGUGGAACUCCCAGUGUAGCAGUGAAAUGCGUAGAGAUCGGGAGGAACAUCUGUGGCGAAGGCGACUGCCUGGACCAGCACUGACACUGAGGCACGAAAGCGUGGGGAGCAAACAGGAUUAGAUACCCGUGUAGUCCCUGUCUCUUAUAC